rnacentral:tRNA from 1 species
GCGAGAGUGGCGGAACUGGCAGACGCGCUGGACUUAGGAUCCAGAGGGGUCACCCCCGUGGGGGUUCAACUCCCCCCUCUCGCACCA